rnacentral:rRNA from 1 species
UACGUACGGUGCGAGCGUUGUCCGGAAUUAUUGGGCGUAAAGAGCUUGUAGGCGGUUUGUCGCGUCUGCUGUGAAAAUCCGGGGCUCAACCCCGGACUUGCAGUGGGUACGGGCAGACUAGAGUGUGGUAGGGGAGACUGGAAUUCCUGGUGUAGCGGUGAAAUGCGCAGAUAUCAGGAGGAACACCGAUGGCGAAGGCAGGUCUCUGGGCCACUACUGACGCUGAGAAGCGAAAGCAUGGGGAGCGAACAGG